GCAGGCUGCAACUCGCCUGCAUGAAGCUGGAAUUGCUAGUAAUCGCGGAUCAGCAAGCCGCGGUGAAUACGUUCCCGGGUCUUGUACACACCGCCCGUCACACCAUGGGAGUCGGAAAUGCCCGAAGUCUGUGACCCAACCUUAGGGAGGGAGCAGCCGAAGGCAGGUCGGAUGACUGGGGUGAAGUCGUAACAAGGUAGC
rnacentral:rRNA from 1 species